rnacentral:lncRNA from 1 species
GCAAUUUUACGUUCAAUUAACGGAGAAGGGGCGGACUACCUUUGUAAUAUACGUUUCGAACAGUGGGCACAAGCAUACGACGACGGCCUAGAUAUGGCCAUAUGACGUCGAACCUAGCUGAAUGCAUAAAUUCUGUUCUUAAAGGAAAGUGUCAUCUACCGAUAACAUCGGUUGUGCGAGAGACAUAUUUUCGUUUGGCGGG